rnacentral:rRNA from 1 species
CCUACGGGCGGCAGCAGUAGGGAAUGUUGCGCAAUGGGCGAAAGCCUGACGCAGCAACGCCGCGUGAACGAGACGGCCUUCGGGGUGUAAAGAUCUGUCAGUGGGGACGAAACUUGACGGUACCCACAGAGGAAGCACCGGCUAACUCCGUGCCAGCAGCCGCGGUAAAACGGGGGGUGCAAGCGUUGUCCGGAAUCAUUGGGCGUAAAGAGUUCGUAGGCGGCACGUAAAGUCUGGUGUUAAAGGCAGAGGCUCAACUUCUGUACGGCACUGGAUACUUGCGAGCUAGAGUGCGGUAGAGGUAAAGGGAAUUCCUGGUGUAGCGGUGAAAUGCUUAGAUAUCAGGAGGAACAUCGGUGGCGUAGGCGCUUUACUGGGCCGUAAUUGACGCUGAGGAACGAAAGCCAGGGUAGCAAAUGGGAUUAGAUACCCCUGUAGUC